rnacentral:rRNA from 1 species
CCUACGGGAGGCAGCAGUGGGGAAUAUUGGACAAUGGGCGAAAGCCUGAUCCAGCAAUGCCGCGUGAGUGAUGAAGGCCUUCGGGUCGUAAAGCUCUUUUACCAGGGAUGAUAAUGACAGUACCUGGAGAAUAAGCUCCGGCUAACUCCGUGCCAGCAGCCGCGGUAAUACGGAGGGAGCUAGCGUUGUUCGGAAUUACUGGGCGUAAAGAGUACGUAGGCGGUUAUUCAAGUCAGAGGUGAAAGCCCGGGGCUCAACCCCGGAACUGCCUUUGAAACUAGAUAACUAGAGUCUUGGAGAGGUUAGUGGAAUUCCGAGUGUAGAGGUGAAAUUCGUAGAUAUUCGGAAGAACACCAGUGGCGAAGGCGACUAACUGGACAAGUACUGACGCUGAGGUACGAAAGCGUGGGGAGCAAACAGGAUUAGAUACCCUGGUAGUCCACGCCGUAAACGAUGAUAACUAGUUGUUCGGUCACUUGGUGACUGAGUGACGCAGCUAACGCAUUAAGUUAUCCGCCUGGGGAGUACGGUCGCAAGAUUAAAACUAAAUGAAUUGACG